rnacentral:rRNA from 1 species
UACGUAGGCGGAAAAUUAAGUCAGUGGUGAAAUCCUGCAGCUUAACUGUAGAACUGUCAUUGAUACUGGUUUUCUUGAAUACAGUUGAGGUAGGCGGAAUGUGUAAUGUAGCGGUGAAAUGCUUAGAUAUUACACAGAACACCGAUUGCGAAGGCAGUUUACUAAACUGUUAUUGACGCUGAGGUACGAAAGCGUGGGGAGCGAACAGGAUUAGAUACCCUGGUAGUCC